rnacentral:misc_RNA from 1 species
UUGAAAGAGACAUCAAUAAUGCAGGAUUUUACCGAUCAGGAUAUUGAGGCAAAUGGUACUGGUUCCCAGGUUGAAAGGGUUGGCAGAAAAAGUUCAUUCACAUGGAAGGUGGAAAACUUUUUGUCUUUCAAGGAAAUAAUGGAAACCCGAAAAAUCUUCAGCAAGUUCUUUCAAGCUGGUGGAUGUGAGCUUCGUAUUGGUGUCUAUGAAUCCUUUGACACCAUAUGUAUAUAUUUAGAGAGUGACCAGUCAGUUGGUAGUGAUCCAGAUAAAAAUUUCUGGGUCAGAUAUAGGAUGGCUGUGGUGAAUCAAAAGAAUCCAGCGAAGACUGUGUGGAAGGAGUCUUCUAUUUGUACAAAGACAUGGAAUAAUUCUGUUCUGCAAUUUAUGAAGGUGUCCGAUAUGUUGGAAG